GACGAACGCUGGCGGCGUGCUUAACACAUGCAAGUCGAAUGGAGUGGCGAACGGGUGAGUAACACGUGGGUGACCUGCCCUGCACUUCGGGAUAAGCGUGGGAAACUGGGUCUAAUACCGGAUAGUGUGGGAUGGGCCCGCGGCCUAUCGGGUUGUUGGUGGGGUAAUGGCCUCCCAAGGCGGCGACGGGUAGCCGGCCUGAGAGGGUGGACGGCCACAUGCGGACACAGGCACGGCCCAGACGCCUACGGGAGGCAGCAGUGGGGAAGAGUGCACAAUGGGCGGAAGCCUGAUGCAGCGACGCCGCGUGGGGGAUGACGGCCUUCGGGUUGUAACCUCCUUUCACCAUCGACGCGGUAGAUGGAGAAGAAGCACCGGCUAACUUCGUGCCAGCAGCCGCGGUAAUUC
rnacentral:rRNA from 1 species